CCCUUUUUGGGUGUUUUUUGUGGGUGAGCCUAGCAUAAAGUGAUUCAGUGUUGCAAGGAAGCAGCAGAUCCAUUCCACUUUGGAGACGAUGAUACUGAUUAGGCUAUUGCUGAAAGAAGAUGUGAAGAAUUUUUCUCUUGCUGUUGGAAGCAUUGAAAUAUGCAUCUAAUAUACAAGAGCAUUUGAAAAAUCUUUGAAUGCAACAGUGGAACUUGCUAGAUUCAGUGGAGAUCAAAACCAACAGAGACAGGAAGUUUGGCAUAUCUUCCUAAGCAGGCAGUGAAGCACCAUGCAGUUGUUGACUCACUCCUCAGAGGGAUAACAAGUAGAAUCUGAAAAAAAGGUGAAAUUCAGUGACUGAGAUUAAGACAUUUUAUUAAGACAGAAAAGGAAGAGGAAAUAAUAAUGAAGAGAAAAAAAAUAUAUGUGAAGCGAAUUGUCCUGGUUUUAUAAUUUUGUUAUCAGUAUUCCACAUCAUAACAUCGUGUAAAGCAUGGGGAAUUAAAGAGUUAAUACUCCAAUUCCAUGGAAUGGCAACCUUCCGGAUACCUGGUCCUCAGAAGACAAAAAAGAACUACAUAUCCCAACAAACUUCAUGUUCAGAGAGGAAGAUAAGUCACAGGAAGAACUCACAGAUCUCUUUCUCGCUGCCUGUGUGAGUGUUCUCCCCAGCUGUUAUGCCCUCAUUUCAAAGUAAGGCUUUCAGUUUCGGAUGCUCUCUCUCAUUGUACUUGAUUUAUUUGCCUCAAUUCCAAUUAUAUUGUACUGUACUGUUAUUUUGCAUUCCAAUAUCAUAUUUAAAUUUAGUUUCCUCCUUAGAUUGUUGCUGCUGCUCUGUUUUUGGGCCAUCUUGUAUCUCUCUACCCUUCCCCUUUUUCCUUCCCAUUUUUGGGCCGGGGGUCCUACCGGCCUCCUGCCCCAUUUCACGGGUACAGAUUGAUCUAGAUAACUCUGUGAUGCUAAUAAAGAGUCUUUAGUGAUGUUGUUCA